UGCGUAGGUGGUUGGUUAAGUUUGAGGUGAAAGCUCCGAGCUCAACUCGGAAAAUGCCUUGAAGACUAUCUGACUAGAGGAUUGGAGGGGGAGAUUGGAAUUCUCGGUGUAGCAGUGAAAUGCGUAGAUAUCGAGAGGAACACCAGUGGCGAAGGCGAAUCUCUGGACAAUUCCUGACACUGAGGCACGAAAGCCAAGGGAGCAAACG
rnacentral:rRNA from 1 species